rnacentral:tRNA from 1 species
AGUAAUAUGUCUGAUAAAAAGUGAUAAAUUGUAAAUUUAUUUAUAGAUAUUUAAUAUCUUAUUACUA